UCGAUCGAUGUUGCAUUAAAUAUAUAUUUUAUUGUAGCAAAAUGUAAUUACUUAUUUUCGUUGCGGUUGAACGUUUUGCCGGAAUAACCUAUUGCGAAACAAAUGCGUGUAAAUUCUAAUAAAGUGACUGCUUUGGAGGUUUUUCAAAAUCGUAUAAAAGAAGUCAAAACUCAGGCGAUACCAACAGAUUUCUUUAUAUUUCAUUUGCAAUCCAGUUUGUGAAUAUGAAAUUGCUAAUUCUGAUGGCUUUAUGCUUUAUUUCUCUCGCUGUGCCUUCAAUGGCUUAUGGCAGAGGAAAAGUAAAAUUCCCAUUGCCACCUGUUGAAGUACACAUUAGUCCAUGGGAUGAAAUUGAUGAUUAUGAUGCAAUCUAUUAAGUCAUCCUAAAGCUUUAUAUACAAAAUACAUUUGUAAAAAUUAAUCAAAUUUUUAAUCUUCGUACUGUUUUUGGUGACAUAAAAAAAAUAAAUAAACUUCAUACUUAAAUGUUUGCAA